AGAGUUUGAUCCUGGCUCAGAUUGAACGCUGGCGGUAUGCUUAACACAUGCAAGUCGAACGGCAGCACGAGGAAGUUUACUUCUUCGGUGGCGAGUGGCGGACGGGUGAGUAAUACAUAGGAAUCUACCUUUUAGUCUAGGAUAACUACCCGAAAGGGUGGCUAAUACUGGAUGUGGACUACGGUUUAAAGCAGGGGACCUUCGGGCCUUGCGCUAAGAGAUGAGCCUAUGUGGGAUUAGCUAGUUGGUGAGGUAAUGGCUCACCAAGGCGACGAUCUCUAGCUGGUUUGAGAGGAUGACCAGUCACACGGACACUGAAAUACGGGUCCGACUCCUACGGGAGGCAGCAGUAGGGAAUAUUGGGCAAUGGAGGCAACUCUGACCCAGCCAUGCCGCGUGAAGGAUGAAGGCCCUCUGGGUUGUAAACUUCUUUUAUCAAGGAAGAAACCUUCGAUUUCGAAUCGAAGCUGACGGUACC
rnacentral:rRNA from 1 species